UGAAGACGACGACGUUGAUAGGCCGGGUGUGUAAGCGCAGCGAUGCGUUGAGCUAACCGGUACUAAUGAACCGUGAGGCUUAACCUUACAACGCCGAAG
rnacentral:rRNA from 8 species